rnacentral:misc_RNA from 1 species
GAUGAAGAACGUAGCGAAAUGCGAUAAGUAAUGUGAAUUGCAGAAUUCAGUGAAUCAUCGAAUCUUUGAACGCACAUUGCGCCCCCUGGUAUUCCGGGGGGCAUGCCUGUUCGAGCGUCAUUUCACCACUCAAGCCUCGCUUGGUAUUGGGCAACGCGGUCCGCCGCGUGCCUCAAAUCGACCGGCUGGGUCUUCUGUCCCCUAAGCGUUGUGGAAACUAUUCGCUAAAGGGUGUUCGGGAGGCUACGCCGUAAAACAACCCCAUUUCUAAGGUUGACCUCGGAUCAGGUAGGGAUACCCGCUGAACUUAAGCAUAUCAUAAGCGAGGA